UACGUAGGGCGCAAGCGUUAUCCGGAAUUAUUGGGCGUAAAGAGCUCGUAGGCGGUUUGUCGCGUCUGCCGUGAAAGUCCGGGGCUCAACCCGCCGUGCUGUGUGACGGGCGACUGAGUGUCGGCAGGGGAGCUGGAAUUCCUGGUGUAGCGGUGAAAUGCGCAGAUAUCAGGAGGAACACCGGUGGCGAAGGCGGGACUCUGGGCCGAUACUGACGCUGAGGAGCGAAAGCGUGGGGAGCAAACAGG
rnacentral:rRNA from 1 species